rnacentral:rRNA from 1 species
AGUGAACGCUGGCGGUAUGCUUAACACAUGCGAGUCGAACGGCGGCACUGUAAGAGCUUGCUCUGAUUGGAGGCGAUUUGUGGAUGGGUGGGGAAUAGGUCGGAAUCUAGUUGUUCAUGUGGGAUAACGUGGGGAAUCUUACGCUAAUACCGCAUACGACCUACGGUUGAAAGCAGGUGAUCUUCGGACCUUGCGCAAUUGCUUGAGCCGAUGUCGGAGUAGCUAGUUGGCGGGGUCAAGGGCCACCGGGGCGACGAUCCGUAGCUGGUCUGAGAGGCUGGUAAGCCACACUGGAAGUGAGACACGGUCCAGACUCUUACGGGAGGGAGCAGUGGGAAACACUUGACAGUGGGCGCAAGCCUGAUCAAGCCAUACCGCGUGGGUGACGAAGGCCUUCGGGUUGUAAAGCCCUAUAGUUGGGACAGAAAAGAAGCCGGUUAAUACACCGCUGUUAUGGAGGUACCCAAAGAAUAAGCAUCGGGUAACUUCGUG